UCACACAUACCCGCACCCACCACCCACUCACAUGCUCCCCCCCACCUCCGUCGCCAUGUAAACUAAGGAAUCCAAUGCCUUCAGUUUUUAUGAAUAACCUUAUUAUUACCAAUUUACCAUUCUGUACCUGUACACUACCAAAAACUGCUUUAUUCCUCUGUGUGAGUGUGUUUGUGCAUGUGUGUGUGUAUGUAUAUGUAUAUAUAUAUAUAUAUAUAUAUAUAUAUAUAUUAUCAUCAUCAUCAUCAUCAUCAUGCUGUAUAUUUUCAUUUAAACAGUUUAAUGUGCAGUACUUAAUAUGUUGAGCAGAGUGAAAAUGCUUGCUUAAGAUGAGAACUUUCACCAGAGAAUGAAAUGCAACUAGUUUUGUUAGAACCAUCAUUGUAAUAAACAAUUAUAUACAUGUCUUUUAUCUUUCAUUGGCUGAAACCAAUGAAAGAUGAAACACACUCACUGGUAAAGUUUCCACUCAUUUACUUAUUUAUUUUUACCUAAAACUUUCGUUGCGUCUUGCAGUCUUUUCAAUUGUCGGAUAAUGGACAGAGUCAACGAGUCAACGACUAUUGAAAAUGUUGCAAGACGCAACGAAAAUUUUUAGGAAGAAAUAAAUGGGUAAAUGAGUGGAAACUUUACUGAGAAAGAGUUUUGAAUCACUGAAACAAAUGGUGGAGGAAAAACGAAUCGCAGAGUGGGAAAAAAUGACAAAGAACACAUAGAAGCUUCUAGUCUUAUUGCCAGCCCUUGUAUUAUUUUGAGCUGUUGGAGUGCUGUGGAUAUUUUGACUCUUUGGGCUGAGGAAUGGAAAUGUUUAAGACUGGUGCUAACAAAUUAUUGCCAUCAGGGAUGAAUUUAGCUGAGGGAAUUGUCUGUCAUUUGUGGCUUUGAUCUGUUUUUUUUUUUUUUUUUUAAAUCCUAAACAGAUCUGAAAUGUGAGGAAGUUUCCUUCUGUUUUGUAAUAUAAUAAAGAGAGAAAGUUUCGAAGAAAAGUUAUUAUUUUACAAACAUUAAUUGUUUUGUUAUACAAAACUGUAUUGAUUUUUUUUUAUGAAUAAAUAACUAGUUGUAAAUUAGAA